GCAGUCAAGCGUGGUGGCGGGCGACUCGUCACCAGAUUCCGCGCAUCAUCGCUCGACGCCGCGUCGGCAGUGGCAAACACUACCAUCACGACCCUGUCUCCGGAGCUUUUUUCGAUGCGCCCGCACAAUAUCGCCCCCGAAAAAUACGUCCCCUCCGCGCGGAUCGCACGCUUCACACCGAAAGACGGCAACACCAUCCGUUUUCGGGGCCGGCACGUUAAGUUGUGUGAGCUCGUUAUCCAUUCGUCAAAUUACGAUAAAAACAUGGUUUUCAACCGCAGCAGCUUGCUCCUUCUUCUCCUGACAACCUUUGUAGCAACGGUUGUUUGCGAAUGCACCUCAGAGAAUAUUGAAAGUAAAAGUUUGGAUCAAAUGGGUGAAACCGCCAAGAAGGAUGUGAAUGCAUUCCUCAAGAAACUGCUUACAAGUUAUAAAGAUCUGGGCCCGGAGGCUAAAGUGAAGGUGGCUGCAAUCUCCAAAGCAAUGCAGGAGCAGAUGAAGCAAAUAGUGGAUAUCACUAAGCUUGAUACAAAAAGAUUGACAAAGUCACGAACUUGCUUGGAUAACAUGCGUCGAAAACUAUGA
rnacentral:lncRNA from 1 species